rnacentral:sRNA from 1 species
UUGACUCUUAAAUGAGAUUGAUUAUCAUAAGCACAACUGGUCGCGAGACUGGUCGAUAAACGGGGUUGUCGUUUCCUCGGUUUAUCUCCUCAUCAGGCUAAUCACGGUUUUGACCCGGCUCUUGCCGGGUCUUUUUUUG